rnacentral:rRNA from 1 species
UACGUAGGGUGCGAGCGUUAAUCGGAAUUGCUGGGCGUAAAGCGUGCGCAGGCGGUCUGUUAAGACCGAUGUGAAAUCCCCGGGCUUAACCUGGGAACUGCAUUGGUGACUGGCAGGCUUUGAGUGUGGCAGAGGGGGGUAGAAUUCCACGUGUAGCAGUGAAAUGCGUAGAGAUGUGGAGGAAUACCGAUGGCGAAGGCAGCCCCUGGCCAACACUGACACUGAGGCACGAAAGCGUGGGGAGCAAACAGG